AAAGGCUGGAGCUUAACUCCGGUAGAGCAGUGGUAACUGGUGUGCUAGAGGGCGACAGGGGUAGAGGGAAUUCCCAGUGUAGCGGUGAAAUGCGUAGAGAUUGGGAAGAACACCGGUGGCGAAAGCGCUCUACUGGGUCGCACCUGACCCUCAGGGACGAAAGCUAAGGUAGCGAAAGGGAUUAGAUACCCCUGUAGUCUUAGCCGUAAACGAUGGAUACUAGGCGUGGUUUGUAUCGACCCAAGCCGUGCCGAAGCUAACGCGUUAAGUAUCCCGCCUGGGGAGUACGCACGCAAGUGUGAAACUCAAAGGAAUUGACGGGGGCCCGCACAAGCGGUGGAGGAUGUGGUUUAAUUCGAUGCAACGCGAAGAACCUUACCAGGGCUUGACAUCCCGCGAAUCCCCAUGAAAGUGGGGAGUGCCUUCGGGAGCGCGGAGACAGGUGGUGCAUGGCUGUCGUCAGCUCGUGUCGUGAGAUGUUGGGUUAAGUCCCGCAACGAGCGCAACCCUCGUCCUUAGUUGCCAGCAUUCAGUUGGGCACUCUAGGGAGACUGCCGGUGACAAACCGGAGGAAGGUGAGGAUGACGUCAAGUCAGCAUGCCCCUUAUGCUCUGGGCAACACACGUCCUACAAUGGUCGGGACAAAGGGGAGCGAGCUCGCGAGAGUCAGCGAAUCCCAGCAAACUCGGCCUCUGUUCAGAUGGCAGGCUGCAACUCGCCU
rnacentral:rRNA from 1 species